rnacentral:rRNA from 1 species
GACGAACGCUGGCGGCGUGCUUAACACAUGCAAGUCGAACGAUGAAGCGGGUGCUUGCACUCGUGGAUUAGUGGCGAACGGGCGAGUAACACGUGAGUAACCUGUCCUUUUCUUUGGGAUAACGGCUGGAAACGGCUGCUAAUACUGGAUAUUCAGGCUGCAUCGCAUGGUGUGGUUUGGAAAGGUUUUUUCUGGGAUUGGGUGGGCUCGCGGCCUAUCAGCUUGUUGGUGGGGUGAUGGCUUACCAAGGCUUUGACGGGUAGCCGGCCUGAGAGGGUGGUCGGUCGCACUGGGACUGAGAUACGGCCCAGACUCCUACGGGAGGCAGCAGUGGGGAAUAUUGCACAAUGGACGAAAGUUUGAUGCAGCGACGCCGCGUGGAGGGUGUAGGCCUUCGGGUUGUGAACUCCUUUUUCUCGCGAAAAAGGCACAGUUUUGGCUGUGUUGAUGGUAGUGGGGGAAGAAGCGCCGGCUAACUACGCG